rnacentral:rRNA from 1 species
AUUCCAGCUCCAAUAGCGUAUAUUAAAGUUGUUGCGGUUAAAAAGCUCGUAGUUGGAUUCCUGCCGAGGAUGACCGGUCCGCCCUGUGGGUGUGCAUCUGGCUCAGCCUUGGCAUCUUCCUGAAGAACGUAGCUGCACUUGACUGUGUGGUGCGGUAUUUAGGACAUUUACUUUGAGGAAAUUAGAGUGUUUCAAGCAGGCAGUUGCUAUGAAUACAUUAGCAUGGAAUAAUAAUCUAGGACUUCGGUUCUAUUUUGUUGGUUUCUAGUACUGAAGUAAUGAUUGAUAGGGAUAGUUGGGGGUGCUAGUAUUGAGCGGCCAGAGGUGAAAUUCUUGGAUUCGCUCAAGACUAACUUAUGCGAAAGCAUUCACCAAGGAUGUCUUCAUUG